rnacentral:rRNA from 1 species
GAUGAACGCUGGCGGCGUGCCUAAUACAUGCAAGUCGAGCGAACAGACGAGGAGCUUGCUCCUCUGACGUUAGCGGCGGACGGGUGAGUAACACGUGGAUAACCUACCUAUAAGACUGGGAUAACUUCGGGAAACCGGAGCUAAUACCGGAUAAUAUAUUGAACCGCAUGGUUCAAUAGUGAAAGACGGUUUUGCUGUCACUUAUAGAUGGAUCCGCGCCGCAUUAGCUAGUUGGUAAGGUAACGGCUUAUCAAGGCGACGAUGCGUAGCCGACCUGAGAGGGUGAUCCGCCACACUGGAACUGAGACACGGUCCAGACUCCUACGGGAGGCAGCAGUAGGGAAUCUUCCGCAAUGGGCGAAAGCCUGACGGAGCAACGCCGCGUGAGUGAUGAAGGUCUUCGGAUCGUAAAACUCUGUUAUUAGGGAAGAACAAAUGUGUAAGUAACUAUGCACGUCUUGACGGUACCUAAUCAGAAAGCCACGGCUAACUACGUG